rnacentral:rRNA from 1 species
AGAGCGAACGCUGGCGGCAGGCCUAACACAUGCAAGUCGAGCGCCCCGCAAGGGGAGCGGCAGACGGGAGAGUAACACGUGGGAACGUACCCUUUGGUUCGGAACAACACAGGGAAACUUGUGCUAAUACCGGAUAAGCCCUUACGGGGAAAGAUUUAUUGCCAAAGGAUCGGCCCGCGUCUGAUUAGCUUGUUGGUGAGGUAACGGCUCACCAAGGCUACGAUCAGUAGCUGGUCUGAGAGGAUGAUCAGCCUCACUGGGACUGAGACACGGCCCAGACUCCUACGGGAGGCAGCAGUGGGGAAUAUUGGACAAUGGGCGCAAGCCUGAUCCAGCCAUGCCGCGUGGAUGAUGAAGGCCCUAGGGUUGUAAAGUCCUUUCGACGGGGAAGAUAAUGACGGUACCCGUAGAAGAAGCCCCGGCUAACUUCGCGCCAGCAGCCGC